UACGUAGGGGGCGAGCGUUGUCCGGAUUCAUUGGGCGUAAAGAGCUCGUAGGCGGUUCGGUAAGUCGGGUGUGAAAUCUCCGUGCUCAACACGGAGCGGCCACCUGAUACUGCCGUGACUCGAGUCCGGUAGGGGAGUGUGGAAUUCCCGGUGUAGCGGUGAAAUGCGCAGAUAUCAGGAGGAACACCGGUGGCGAAGGCGGGUCUCUGGGCCGAUACUGACGCUGAGGAGCGAAAGCGUGGGGAGCGAACAGG
rnacentral:rRNA from 1 species